CCCUGAGUGUAUUUGCACUUUGUGACUCUGAGCUCAGACUUCUUGGGACCAUGAUUUGAGACCUGCGUGUAAGAACAAAGCUGAGUAAGAGGGACUUUACCUGCCAGACUACAGUGGACCCUCGAAUUACGACUGGCCUGACAUAUGAACAACUUGGGUUAAUUGGGCAAAUGGAAGAUUCGUCUGCCUCUCGUUACCUUCAGCAUGUACCCAGAUAGAGUUUUUCUGGCUGCAGAAUGGAGAACAGAAGACACAGGACAAGAAGAUUGAGAAAGAAACUAGUUAGGGAUCUGUUAUUGUCCAGGCCUUAAACGAAGUUACUUCUGCCUCUGCUUCCUGAAGAUGUGGAGUUCCAGCAUACACCAGUAAACCCAGCUUCAGU